rnacentral:rRNA from 1 species
GGUUAAGCGACUAAGCGUACACGGUGGAUGCCCUGGCAGUCAGAGGCGAUGAAGGGCGUGCUAAUCUGCGAUAAGCGCCGGUAAGGUGAUAUGAACCGUUAUAACCGGCGAUACCCGAAUGGGGAAACCCAGUGUGAUUCGUCACACUAUCAUUAACUGAAUCCAUAGGUUAAUGAGGCGAACCGGGGGAACUGAAACAUCUAAGUACCCCGAGGAAAAGAAAUCAACCGAGAUUCCCCCAGUAGCGGCGAGCGAACGGGGAGGAGCCCAGAGCCUGAAUCAGCAUGUGUGUUAGUGGAAGCGUCUGGAAAGGCGCGCGAUACAGGGUGACAGCCCCGUACACAAAAGCGCAUGUGCUGUGAGCUCGAUGAGUAGGGCGGGACACGUGGUAUCCUGUCUGAAUAUGGGGGGACCAUCCUCCAAGGCUAAAUACUCCUGACUGACCGAUAGUGAACCAGUACCGUGAGGGAAAGGCGAAAAGAACCCCGGCGAGGGGAGUGAAAAAGAACCUGAAAUCGUGUACGUACAAGCAGUGGGAGCACAGGUUUACCUGUGUGACUGCGUACCUUUUGUAUAAUGGGUCAGCGACUUAUAUUCUGUAGCAAGGUUAACCGAAUAGGGGAGCCGGAGGGAAACCGAGUCUUAAUUGGGCGUUAAGUUGCAGGGUAUAGACCCGAAACCCGGUGAUCUAGCCAUGGGCAGGUUGAAGGUUGGGUAACACUAACUGGAGGACCGAACCGACUAAUGUUGAAAAAUUAGCGGAUGACCUGUGGCUGGGGGUGAAAGGCCAAUCAAACCGGGAGAUAGCUGGUUCUCCCCGAAAGCUAUUUAGGUAGCGCCUCGUGAAUUCAUCUCCGGGGUAGAGCACUGUUUCGGCUAGGGGGCCAUCCCGGCUUACCAACCCGAUGCAAACUGCGAAUACCGGAGAAUGUUAUCACGGGAGACACACGGCGGGUGCUAACGUCCGUCGUGAAGAGGGAAACAACCCAGACCGCCAGCUAAGGUCCCAAAGUCAUGGUUAAGUGGGAAACGAUGUGGGAAGGCCCAGACAGCCAGGAUGUUGGCUUAGAAGCAGCCAUCAUUUAAAGAAAGCGUAAUAGCUCACUGGUCGAGUCGGCCUGCGCGGAAGAUGUAACGGGGCUAAACCAUGCACCGAAGCUGCGGCAGCGACGCUUAUGCGUUGUUGGGUAGGGGAGCGUUCUGUAAGCCUGUGAAGGUGGCCUGUGAGGGUUGCUGGAGGUAUCAGAAGUGCGAAUGCUGACAUAAGUAACGAUAAAGCGGGUGAAAAGCCCGCUCGCCGGAAGACCAAGGGUUCCUGUCCAACGUUAAUCGGGGCAGGGUGAGUCGACCCCUAAGGCGAGGCCGAAAGGCGUAGUCGAUGGGAAACGGGUUAAUAUUCCCGUACUUGGUGUUACUGCGAAGGGGGACGGAGAAGGCUAUGUUGGCCGGGCGACGGUUGCCCCGGUUUAAGCGUGUAGGUGUGUGUUCCAGGUAAAUCCGGUUCACUUUAACACUGAGGCGUGAUGACGAGGCACUACGGUGCUGAAGUAACAAAUGCCCUGCUUCCAGGAAAAGCCUCUAAGCAUCAGGUAACAUCAAAUCGUACCCCAAACCGACACAGGUGGUCAGGUAGAGAAUACCAAGGCGCUUGAGAGAACUCGGGUGAAGGAACUAGGCAAAAUGGUGCCGUAACUUCGGGAGAAGGCACGCUGACACGUAGGUGAAGUGAUUUACUCACGGAGCUGAAGUCAGUCGAAGAUACCAGCUGGCUGCAACUGUUUAUUAAAAACACAGCACUGUGCAAACACGAAAGUGGACGUAUACGGUGUGACGCCUGCCCGGUGCCGGAAGGUUAAUUGAUGGGGUCAGCGCAAGCGAAGCUCCUGAUCGAAGCCCCGGUAAACGGCGGCCGUAACUAUAACGGUCCUAAGGUAGCGAAAUUCCUUGUCGGGUAAGUUCCGACCUGCACGAAUGGCGUAAUGAUGGCCAGGCUGUCUCCACCCGAGACUCAGUGAAAUUGAACUCGCUGUGAAGAUGCAGUGUACCCGCGGCAAGACGGAAAGACCCCGUGAACCUUUACUAUAGCUUGACACUGAACAUUGAGCCUUGAUGUGUAGGAUAGGUGGGAGGCUUUGAAGUGUGGACGCCAGUCUGCAUGGAGCCGACCUUGAAAUACCACCCUUUAAUGUUUGAUGUUCUAACGUGGACCCGUUACCCGGGUUGCGGACAGUGUCUGGUGGGUAGUUUGACUGGGGCGGUCUCCUCCUAAAGAGUAACGGAGGAGCACGAAGGUUGGCUAAUCCUGGUCGGACAUCAGGAGGUUAGUGCAAUGGCAUAAGCCAGCUUGACUGCGAGCGUGACGGCGCGAGCAGGUGCGAAAGCAGGUCAUAGUGAUCCGGUGGUUCUGAAUGGAAGGGCCAUCGCUCAACGGAUAAAAGGUACUCCGGGGAUAACAGGCUGAUACCGCCCAAGAGUUCAUAUCGACGGCGGUGUUUGGCACCUCGAUGUCGGCUCAUCACAUCCUGGGGCUGAAGUAGGUCCCAAGGGUAUGGCUGUUCGCCAUUUAAAGUGGUACGCGAGCUGGGUUUAGAACGUCGUGAGACAGUUCGGUCCCUAUCUGCCGUGGGCGCUGGAGAACUGAGGGGGCUGCUCCUAGUACGAGAGGACCGGAGUGGACGCAUCACUGGUGUUCGGGUUGUCAUGCCAAUGGCACUGCCCGGUAGCUAAAUGCGGAAGAGAUAAGUGCUGAAAGCAUCUAAGCACGAAACUUGCCCCGAGAUGAGUUCUCCCUGAGACUUAAAGUCUCCUGAAGGAACGUUGAAGACGACGACGUUGAUAGGCCGGGUGUGUAAGCGCAGCGAUGCGUUGAGCUAACCGGUACUAAUGAACCGUGAGGCUUAACCCU